rnacentral:ncRNA from 2 species
CAGGCUCUCGCGGGAGAGAUCGGGCGCUGGAAACAGGGUUCGACGCCGAAGGCGCAACCGCCCCGGAAACGCUCAGGCAAACGGACCGCGAAGCACAC